UUUUUAUUUAUUUUAUUCUGCUGCGAAAGUUGAAGAUCACGUGACAUACACGCCAGAAAAAACGUCAUUUCUGGGUAUUUGUCCACUGGUUUGCCUGUUAACCGUAGGUGUCACGUUUGAAGGGACGAAACGGAACGUCAUCGCUCGAACGGCCAAUCAUAUCGCGCAUUGAGGAACCCAAAGCCUCCUAACAGAGAUGCCUCGAUCCUUUCGAAAAUUCGCACGGAGGCAACAGUCAAGGUGAACAUCUGUGAGUUUCUCCAAAGCGGUUACCAUCGGUAAACAGCAAGCCUACUGAUUGCCUGCCUGGUGUUGACCGACGCGACGAGGUGUAUUGCCUAAAUCCAAUCCACGGAUUGCUUCCUAGUUGGAGAUUUGACAUCCUCGUGAUCCUGGUGUGCGUGCGCCAUCCUCGAGGAAAUUGCUAGUGACUGUUCGAGUGUUGUUGCAGCUAAGGUCAUCAGAGAGGCCAACCAUCCUCUUCAGUGUCAGGCAGCCAGGCUAACCGUCCUGUUCAGUGUCAGGCAGAUUGAAUUAUGUUUGGGUAGGUAACUAGUUACCACGCACAACAAUGUUCCACUGUAAAUAUAUUGGAUGUCAGCAUGUGUCUGAGAAGGUGCAUAACUUUGUUCAGCACACAAAGCUGCACAGUAAUGCCCCCAAUUUUCACUAUCAGUGUGGGGUGUCUGAUUGCUCACGGAGGUACAGAAAACACACAGCACUGAAAUCGCAUAUAUAUAGGCUGCAUAAGUGCUACCUGCAAGCUGCUCGGCCUAUACCGCCUGACAUAUCAGCUCUACCACCUGACACAUCCUUGAAAUGUGUGCUUGAGGCUUGUGCAUUUAAGUGUGACACUUUAGCCUCUCUUAUUAAGCAUUUGAAGACACACGUAAGGGGAGGAAUGGAAACUAAAUGCCCAUUUAGAGGUUGUGAUUGCAGGUUCACAAACGUGAUGACUUUUGCUUCACAUAUUAACAGGAAACAUAGGCGUGCAGAGGAUUCAGUUUUAGAUGACUUGGUACUAGACAAGUCUAUUACUACAGAGUCAUUGCCAGAACCCAUUCAGUCAUCUUCAGAAGCUGCUGGUGAACAUGAUGAUGAACCAGAAGUGCCAUUAGUUGUGAACGAAACCCUUUUUUUACAUAACCUUACAUGUUAUGUAAAAUGCCCCUCUCUUCUCCAACAAGUUAAAACUAGAGUGGAAUAUAAAACUAGGAACAACACUCUGGCUCGACGCCGACGAAGCCGAGAGGGAAGAAGGAACACUGGAGUAGCAGGAGAGUCCAGACUGACGAGAGGUCCUGUCGACCAAUACGGGUAUGUGUAGGGGUGGACAAAAUAUAGAUAUUGCAAUUAUUGUACGUUGAAGGUUUUGAAGAUUACAGUAAUAAUAAUUCCUUGCAUUUACAUAGCUCUUUUCAGGACACCCAGUGCUUUACAAUGGUCUUCUCAUUCACACACUGAGAAGCGGCGAACAUACAGUGGCAGUGUCCUCUCCAUUCACACUCACACACUAAUGGCGAUCAGCAACCAUGCAAGGCACAGGGGUUAAAGGGGCACCGCCAUGCUAGACUAACUUAGGUUAUUUGAAUUGAAUGUUUAAAUUAUGUGUAGAUUUUGUAUAAUCGCCGUCAGUGUAACUGUCAUGAUAAUUGAAAUGUUCCCACUCCAAAACCAGUCCAAAUGAUCGGCCCCAAUAGUAUUGAUUUAACCUAUGAUUC